AAUCAAGAAAGAAGUUAAACCUAUCUCUAGUCUCCCCUCUUCUCAGUUCGGCCUCACCUAGGCUCCGGGGGGGGGGGGGGGGGCGAGGCUGCAGCAGCCUCGCCUUCCCGUCGAGCAACCCAAUUCAUCCCCCCAUAUAACAUCUUGGUAUCAGACGACCACGAUCCUGUUAUCCACUCCACGCCAUUCACCAUGCCUGCCAUCCAUGACCUCCACACGCUGCGCCAAUCCUCCAGGGCCAUACAGACCUCCAUCACCGAGGUCACAGCUGGGCUCGCCAAGGUGACCGAGUUGGUGCUGGCGCUCCGCGCUGGGUUUGCGGAACAGAAUGCGGCGGUGGAGACUUCGACGACGACACCCCCUCCGCUACCCACGGUAUCAAAGGCAGAGGUGCUGCAGCCACUCGCGCCACCUUCCCCACCACGAGCAGCAGGCUCCCCACCGCCCACACUGCCGACGGCUGAGGUCCUGCAGCCACGUGCUACGGCGCCACCUGCCCCGCCAUCACCCCUGUUCGUGUCUGCCGUGGUUCUGCCACAUCUCCCCAUGGUGCUGCCGGGGCUUGCCGAGAUGCCACUGCAUCAGUCGUCGCCAUGGACGAACAUCGUGUUGCGUCGUCCUUGUUCUCCCCUGCGAGGCUGUGACCACGGUAACGAUUUACCGUCAAGAGGUUCCCUCGCGCAGUCACGCGUCCUCCAGAAGCGGCGCGCGGUUUGGUGUCAUCUCCACGGCCACCAGGUGCGGUGCGCCUGGAGGCGCAAGGCGAGGGGGCGGCGUGCAAGACGGAGGCGGUUUCGGCGUGCGCGUGGCCUCCUGACGGUGCGGGCCGCAGCGCGACAACGUCGUGCGCGGUUCGUGCGCGAGGCCGUUGGGAAGGAGCGCAUUCACGCCGUUUUUUCCGCACGGCAUGCGCGCAAUUCUUUUUUUCUGGCGGCGCGUGCAAAGCGGAGACCUCCAGGGGCGACACGGCUUCCUGGUCUUGCGCGGCGUCGGCGCAUCUUGCGUGCUGCAGGUUCGCGGCUCCGUCUUGCGGUAUCUGCGCGUCUUGCUGGUCCGUACAAGGAACGACAUGGGGACAGGGAAUCAUCGUUCAUGAAACCCUAUCCACACAUGGGCUGGUUUCUGGGCCGGUUGGAUAGGCUUCCUCUCAGCUUACAGCAUCCCUUGGCCAGCUUGUCAGUUGUGCCUCAACAAGAAACACCAAUAACUCCGGCCCGUCACUGCAUGAUUAGCUGUUUUUUCCAACGUAGAUUGAAUCGUGCUGCUGCUCCCCUUUCUUUGCGAAGUUUAGGAUGGGGUCCACCAAUAUCUGUCGAUAGCAUGCUGACGUGGAACUCCCGAGUUACCUUAGAUUUAUUAUUUUACUUUCAAAAUAAGAUUCAUAGCCGAGAUGUAAAAGGCUUAAUAAUAGGAGAUGAGUCUAGAUGCCAAGACAAUCAUCAUGUGGAGACUAACUUGCAACUCGCGGGCAAGCUGCUUCCGAAGGAGAAGGGAAAGGGGACUAGGAUGACAUGGGUGAUCGGCACCCCUCAAUCUUCAGGCAUGGCUUCCACCGCAGCUCGAGGACGAGCUGUCUCGAAGGAGGGAUGGAGAUGUUAUGGGCAGAACUCAUCCCCUCUUUAUUAGAUAAGGUUGUUAGGAGGUUUGUUAGGAUUUAUUAGAUAAGGUUGUUAGGAGGUUUGUUAGGAGCCGGCUCUAUAUACAGAGAGGCACCGCAGUCAUUCGGAAUUAAUCAAGAAAGAAGUUAAACCU
rnacentral:lncRNA from 1 species